AUCCAGCUGGCGAGUCCCAAAUAGGACGAAACGCGCGUCCUGGAU
rfam:Schistosoma mansoni strain Puerto Rico chromosome 6, complete genome